rnacentral:rRNA from 1 species
AGAGUUUGAUCAUGGCUCAGGAUGAACGCUGGCGGCGUGCUUAAUACAUGCAAGUCGAACGAAGUCAGUAGCAAUAUUGGCUGAGUGGCGAACGGGUGAGUAACGCGUUGGUGACCUGCCCCGAAGAGAGGGAUAACAGUCCGAAAGGAUUGCUAAUACCCCAUGUGGUCGUUUGGAUUAGAUGCCUUAUGACUAAACGGAUUUAUUCGCUUCGGGAGGGGCCUGCGUCCCAUCAGCUAGUUGGUAGGGUAAUGGCCUACCAAGGCGAUGACGGGUAGGGGACCUGAGAGGGUGGCCCCCCACAAUGGAACUGAAACACGGUCCAUACACCUACGGGUGGCAGCAGUAGGGAAUAUUGGUUAAUCUGCGAAAGCGGGAACCAGCAACGCCGCGUGCACGAUGACGGCCUUCGGGUUGUAAAGUGCUUUUUGAAAGGAUGAGGAAGGACAGUACUUUCAGAAUAAGCUUCGGCUAACUACGUGCCAGCAGCCGCGGUAAAACGUAGGAAGCGAGCGUUAUCCGGAUUUACUGGGCGUAAAGCGUGUGUAGGCGGUUUGAUAAGUUGGAUGUGAAAGCUCCUGGCUUAACUGGGAGAGGUCGUUCAAAACUGUCAGACUCGAGAGUGGUAGAGGGAGGUGGAAUUCCGGGUGUAGUGGUGAAAUGCGUAGAUAUCCGGAGGAACACCAGUGGCGAAAGCGGCCUCCUGGCCCAUUUCUGACGCUCAGACACGAAAGCUAAGGUAGCAAACGGGAUUAGAGACCCCGGUAGUCUUAGCUGUAAACUAUGUGAACUUAGUGUCGGUGGGUUUAAAUCCAUCGGUACUGAAGCAAACGCGAUAAGUUCACCGCCUGGGGACUACGGCCGCAAGGUUAAAACUCAAAGGAAUUG